rnacentral:rRNA from 1 species
UACGUAGGGAGCAAGCGUUGUCCGGAAUCAUUGGGCGUAAAGCGCGCGUAGGCGGCCUUGUAAGUCCGUUGUGAAAGUCAAAGGCUCAACCUUUGAAAGCCGAUGGAUACUGCAAGGCUGGAGUUCGGUAGGGGAGACUGGAAUUCCUGGUGUAGCGGUGAAAUGCGCAGAUAUCAGGAGGAACACCGGUGGCGAAGGCGGGUCUCUGGGCCGAUACUGACGCUGAGGAGCGAAAGCGUGGGGAGCGAACAGG